rnacentral:rRNA from 1 species
CGGCGGACGGGUGAGUAACACGUGGAUAACCUACCUAUAAGACUGGGAUAACUUCGGGAAACCGGAGCUAAUACCGGAUAAUAUAUUGAACCGCAUGGUUCAAUAGUGAAAGACGGUUUUGCUGUCACUUAUAGAUGGAUCCGCGCCGCAUUAGCUAGUUGGUAAGGUAACGGCUUACCAAGGCAACGAUGCGUAGCCGACCUGAGAGGGUGAUCGGCCACACUGAACUGAGACACGGUCCAGACUCCUACGGGAGGCAGCAGAC